rnacentral:rRNA from 1 species
CCUACGGGGGACAGCAGUGGGGGAUAUUGCACAAUGGGGGGAACCCUGAUGCAGCGACGCCGCGUGGGUGAAGGAGUGCUUCGGCAUGUAAAGCCCUAUCGGCAGGGAAGAAGCAAGACGGUACCUGACCAAGAAGCCCCGGCUAAGUACGUGACAGACGCCGCGGUAAUUAGGAGGGGGCGAGCGUUAUCCGGAUUCACUGGGUGUAAAGGGAGCGUAGACGGCCAUGCAAGCCAGGGGUGAAAGCCCGGGGCCCAAACCCGGCACUGCCCUUGAAACUGCAUGGCUGGAGUGCGGGAGGGGCAUGCGGAAUGCCUGGUGUAGCGGUGAAAUGCGUAGAUAUCAGGAGGAACACCGACGGCGAAGGCAGCCUGCUGGACCGCGACUGACGUUGAGGCUCGAAAGCGUGGGGAGCGAACAGGAUUAGAUACCCUUGUAGUC